rnacentral:rRNA from 1 species
AGUGAACGCUGGCGGUAGGCCUAACACAUGCAAGUCGAACGGCAGCACAGUAAGAGCUUGCUCUUACGGGUGGCGAGUGGCGGACGGGUGAGGAAUACAUCGGAAUCUACUUUUUCGUGGGGGAUAACGUAGGGAAACUUACGCUAAUACCGCAUACGACCUACGGGUGAAAGCAGGGGAUCUUCGGACCUUGCGCGAUUGAAUGAGCCGAUGUCGGAUUAGCUAGUUGGCGGGGUAAAGGCCCACCAAGGCGACGAUCCGUAGCUGGUCUGAGAGGAUGAUCAGCCACACUGGAACUGAGACACGGUCCAGACUCCUACGGGAGGCAGCAGUCGGGAAUAUUGGACAAUGGGCGCAAGCCUGAUCCAGCCGUACCGCGUGGGUGAAGAAGGCCUUCGGGUUGUAAAGCCCUUUUGUUGGGAAAGAAAAGCAGCAGGUUAAUACCCCGCUGUUCUGACGGUACCCAAAGAAUAAGCACCGGCUAACUUCGUG